rnacentral:rRNA from 1 species
UGGGGAAUAUUGGACAAUGGGCGAAAGCCUGAUCCAGCGACGCCGCGUGGGCGAUGAAGGUCUUCGGAUUGUAAAGCCCUGUGAGACGGGAAGAAAAGUGCGCGGGAAUAAUACCCCGUGUAUUUGACGGUACCGUCAGAGGAAGCACCGGCUAACUCUGUGCCAGCAGCCGCGGUAAUACAGAGGGUGCAAGCGUUGUCCGGAAUUACUGGGUGUAAAGGGCGCGUAGGUGUUCGAAUGUGUCAGAUGUGAAAUUCCAUGGCUUAACUAUGGAACUGCAUUUGAAACUAUUCGGAUAGAGUACGGUAGGGGAAAGUGGAAUUCCCGGUGUAGAAGUGAAAUUCGUAGAUAUCGGGAGGAAUACCUGUGGCGAAGGCGACUUUCUGGACCGUUACUGACACUGAGGCGCGAAAGCGUGGGGAGCAAACAGGAUUAGAUACCCUGGUAGUCCACGCCGUAAACGAUGGAUACUAGGUGUUGCGGGAGUUGACCCCCGCAGUGCCGCAGCUAACGCGAUAAGUAUCCCACCUGGGGAGUACGGCCGCAAGGUUA